GUGCUUGCUUAGGCAGCAUAUAUACUAAAAUCGGAACAAUACAGAGAAGAUUAGCAUGGCCCCUGCGAAAGGAUGACAAAUUCAUGAAGCGUUCCAUAUUUUU